GAUGAACGCUGGCGGUAUGCUUAACACAUGCAAGUCGAACGGACUCUUUGGAGUUAGUGGCGGACGGGUGAGUAACGCGUGAGAAUCUGGCUUUGGGUUCGGGACAACCACUGGAAACGGUGGCUAAUACCGGAUGUGCCGAGAGGUAAAAGAGAAAUUGCCUGAAGAUGAGCUCGCGUCUGAUUAGCUAGUUGGUGAGGUAAAGGCUCACCAAGGCAGCGAUCAGUAGCUGGUCUGAGAGGAUGACCAGCCACACUGGGACUGAGACACGGCCCAGACCCCUACGGGAGGCAGCAGUGGGGAAUUUUCCGCAAUGGGCGAAAGCCUGACGGAGCAAUACCGCGUGAGGGAAGAAGGCUCUUGGGUUGUAAACCUCUUUUCUUAGGGAAGAACAAAAUGACGGUACCUAAGGAAUCAGCAUCGGCUAACUCCGUG
rnacentral:rRNA from 1 species